CAUGAGAAGACCUGGUUAGGCCAGCAGACACAAGGGAAAGAACAAGGAAGCUGAACUCUAGUAAACAGCUGUCAAACUUAGUUAGUUGUCUGGGCUUUUCUGCUCUUGUAUGUAACGAUUUGUUGAAUUAAAUAAUGGCUAGAGUCCUUAUUAGGGACUGUUAGCUUAUAUGUGACAGACUGCAAAAAUUGGCCAUAAAUACUUUGCAGCUCUUCCCCAUCAAGGGGCAGAGUCUGCUUCUCCACCUCUUGAAUCUGGGCUUGGCUCUAUGACUUGCUUUUGGCCAAUGGGACAUGAGCAAGCAUGGCUUGAAAAAAGUUGUCGGGAACCUUUCCACCACUAUGUAAGCAAGCCUGGCUAUCUGCUGGAGAGACCACGUGGAGAGAGGCUCCAGAAACACAGGGAAUCCAAAGACCAUCAAUUGGCCUGGACCCAAGACUGACCGUGGAUCUUCCCAACUACCAUUUCAUCAUUUUGCUGAUGAUAUUGCACUCUUGGCUUGGAUCAGCUUAUUCAGCAGUGAAGCUCUAGUGCCAUUGUAAUGACUACUCCUGCUGCCUGGGAUGCCCUUGUUUUACUGGCAAACUCCUACAAGUUCUUUCAGACCACUCUGCUUUGACAUCUCCCUGAACGCCAGCCUCACACU